UACGGGGGGGGCAAGCGUUGUUCGGAAUUACUGGGCGUAAAGGGCUCGUAGGCGGCCAACUAAGUCAGACGUGAAAUCCCCAGGCUCAACCUGGGAACUGCGUCUGAUACUGGUUGGCUUGAAUCCGGGAGAGGGAUGCAGAAUUCCAGGUGUAGCGGUGAAAUGCGUAGAUACCUGGAGGAAUACCGGUGGCGAAGGCGGCAUCCUGGACCGGCAUUGACGCUGAGGAGCGAAAGCGUGGGGAGCAAACAGG
rnacentral:rRNA from 1 species